CCCUUAGAUGUUCUGGGCCGCACGCGUGCUACACUGAGUGGAUCAGCGGGUCAGGUUGCGCGAAAGCGUUUCCUAAUCUUUAAAUCCGCUCGUGAUGGGGAUUGACGGUUGCAAUUUUCCGUCAUGAACGAGGAAUACCUUGUAAGCGCGGGUCAUCAUCCCGCGCUGAAUACGUCCCUGCCCUUUGUACACACCGCCCGUCGCUCCUACCGAUUGAGUGGUCCGGUGAGGCUUUGGGAUCUGAGCAAAAAGAGCGUUUCGCUCGUUUGGCUCGGAAAACUCAGUCGAACCUUAUCAUUUAGAGGAAGGAGAAGUCGUAACA
rnacentral:rRNA from 1 species